rnacentral:rRNA from 1 species
AACAAACGCUGGCGGCGUGCCUAAUACAUGCAAGUCGAACGGGGAAUAUACCUUCGGGUAUUAGUACUAGUGGCGCACGGGUGAGUAAUACGUAGAUAAUCUUCCUUAAAGUGGGGAAUAACCAGUCGAAAGACUGGCUAAUACCGCAUAAGACCACAGGCUCUGAGGAGCUAGGGGUUAAAGGCUUCGGUCGCUUUAAGAUGAGUCUGCGUCCCAUUAGCUAGUUGGCCGGGGUAAAAGCCCACCAAGGCUGUGAUGGGUAGCUGGUCUGAGAGGAUGGCCCAGCCACACUGGGACUGAGACACGGCCCAGACUCCUACGGGAGGCAGCAG